rnacentral:ncRNA from 1 species
CUGAAGUGGGGAAAUGUUCCAUGUGAACAUCACUUGGACAUGGUCAGUUAGUCGAUCCUAAGACAUGGGGAAUCCUUGUAUCAAGGGUGCACUUUGCAUGAAAAUUGAAAGAGAAUUGGGUUAAUAUUCCCGAACCAGGACAUGGUGGUGGACGACAAUGUUAGGAAAUUUGGAGAUGUCAUCGGGGGCUUAAGAAGAGUUAUCUUUUCUUUUUAAUGACUUUCCCACCCUGAAAUCAGUUCAACCAAAGAUAGGGUCCAACAUCUUAAAGAGCACCACACAUAUUGCAGUGUUUGGUGCCCCCUCGGUGGCCAUUGCAAAUAUGGUGAACCGAGUACCAUCCAUGCCCGAUGGUACUCAUAUCUGCCUCCUUGGAUUUUUCAAUGUCCACUAG